rnacentral:rRNA from 1 species
GUGAAAUUGUUGAAAGGGAAACGCUUGAAGUCAGUCGCGUCGUCCGAGACUCAGCCUCGCCUCGGCUUGGUGUACUUCUCGACCGACGGGUCAGCAUCAAUUUUGCCCCUUGGAUAAUGGCGUGGGAAAUGUGGCACCUUUGCGGGUGCGUUAUAGUCCCUCGUCGCAUGCAAGGGUCGGGAUUGAGGAACUCAGCACGCGCCUUUCGGCGUCGGGGCCUUUGCCCACGAUACGUGCUUAGGAUGUUGGCGUAAUGGCUUUAAACGACCCGUCUUGAAACACGGACCAAGGAGUCUAACAUGCCCGCGAGUGUUCGGGUGGAAAACCCGUGCGCGCAAUGAAAGUGAAAGUUGGGACCUCUGUCGUGGAGGGCACCGACGCCCGGACCAGACCUUCUGUGACGGAUCUGCGGUGGAGCGUGUAUGUUAGGACCCGAAAGAUGGUGAACUAUGCCUGAAUAGGGUGAAGCCAGAGGAAACUCUGGUGGAGGCUCGUAGCGAUUCUGACGUGCAAAUCGAUCGUCAAAUUUGGGUAUGGGGGCGAAAG